rnacentral:rRNA from 1 species
UACGAGAGGCCCAAACGUUAUUCGGAAUCACUGGGCUUAAAGAGUUCGUAGGCGGCUCAGAAAGUUGGGUGUGAAAUCCCUCGGCUCAACCGAGGAAUUGCGCUCAAAACUACAUGAGCUAGAGGGAGAUAGAGGUGAGCGGAACUGAUGGUGGAGCGGUGAAAUGCGUUGAUAUCAUCAGGAAGCACCGGAGGCGAAGGCGGCUCACUGGGUCUUUCCUGACGCUGAGGAACGAAAGCUAGGGGAGCGAACGGG